rnacentral:rRNA from 1 species
GAUGAACGCUGGCGGCGUGCCUAAUACAUGCAAGUCGAGCGAACAGACGAGGAGCUUGCUCCUCUGACGUUAGCGGCGGACGGGUGAGUAACACGUGGAUAACCUACCUAUAAGACUGGGAUAACUUCGGGAAACCGGAGCUAAUACCGGAUAAUAUAUUGAACCGCAUGGUUCAAUUGUGAAAGACGGUUUUGCUGUCACUUAUAGAUGGAUCCGCGCCGCAUUAGCUAGUUGGUAAGGUAACGGCUUACCAAGGCAACGAUGCGUAGCCGACCUGAGAGGGUGAUCGGCCACACUGGAACUGAGACACGGUCCAGACUCCUACGGGAGGCAGCAGUAGGGAAUCUUCCGCAAAGGGCGAAAGCCUGACGGAGCAACGCCGCGUGAGUGAUGAAGGUCUUCGGAUCGUAAAACUCUGUUAUUAGGGAAGAACAAAUGUGUAAGUAACUAUGCACGUCUUGACGGUACCUAAUCAGAAAGCCACGGCUAACUACGUG